CAGUAGCCGCGGUAAUACCGAGGGUGCGAGCGUUAAUCGGAUUUACUGGGCGUAAAGCGUGCGUAGGCGGCUUUUUAAGUCGGAUGUGAAAUCCCUGAGCUUAACUUAGGAAUUGCAUUCGAUACUGGGAAGCUAGAGUAUGGGAGAGGAUGGUAGAAUUCCAGGUGUAGCGGUGAAAUGCGUAGAGAUCUGGAGGAAUACCGAUGGCGAAGGCAGCCAUCUGGCCUAAUACUGACGCUGAGGUACGAAAGCAUGGGGAGCAAACAGGAUUAGAUACCCGAGUAGUCCCUGUCUCUUAUAC
rnacentral:rRNA from 1 species